rnacentral:rRNA from 1 species
AGAACCCUUUGGAAACUGUUUAAAUGAAUCGCAGAAGGGGAGAGUGGAAUUCCAUGAGUAGGGGUGAAAUGCGUAGAUAUAUGGAGGGACACCGGUGGCGAAAGCGGCUCUCUGGUCUGUAACUGACGCUGAGGCUGGAAAGCGUGGGGAGCGAACAGG